AAUGAUGAAAAGCAACUCACAAGUUGACAAUAUCAAAUGAUUAGUUUUUAAUUUUUUAUACAGGUAUAUUUAUGCAUUACACCGAAGCAUGCCUUAGAAAUCACGUUUUCAAAAUAAUAAUUCCAAGUGAUGAAUUAUUGGAAAACAUUUCAGAAACAAAAGCCGUGCAUGUGGAAUUAACAAGCACCUUGGCUGGCAGUGAGGCACUUCAAGAAGGAGAAAAGAAUCUGAAUCCUUCUUGCAUGAGAGACCAAGCAAUAGAUCAUCUUAUAAACAGUGAAGAGGCGAGCUUUCUCAUCAGGUUUGAAUACUGCUAUCACUGACCGCAGCGUCCCCUAGCGCCCGAGGCAGGACAAACCAGUGCAGCUGAACUCACCUGCAUCAGCUUGGCCUCCCUCCUGCUACGUGGAGCAAGGAUAUCAGCUCUGUGGCAACUUUUCAUCGCUGGUAAAAAGUAGAUAGUUUCCUUGGGAAAUAGUUUUUGCUGAAAAUAAUGAAGAAUAUUUCAUCAGUAUGGUGAUGCAUAUUGAAAACAUGAAUUUAUUACUAAAUUAUCACUAUAUAUGGUGGAAUUAUAAUUUUUAAA
rnacentral:lncRNA from 1 species